rnacentral:rRNA from 1 species
UACGUAGGGUGCAAGCGUUAAUCGGAAUUACUGGGCGUAAAGCGUGCGCAGGCGGUUUCGUAAGUCUGUCGUGAAAUCCCCGGGCUUAACCUGGGAAUGGCGAUGGAGACUGCGAGGCUAGAGUUUGGCAGAGGGGGGUAGAAUUCCACGUGUAGCAGUGAAAUGCGUAGAGAUCGGGAGGAAUACCCGUGGCGAAGGCGGCCAGCUGGGCUACACCUGACACUGAGACGCGAAGGCGUGGGGAGCGAACGGG